AGCUCUGCGUGAUUUUUAUUUAACCAGAAUACCCAAACUCCAAGGCUGUUGAGCCACGUCAGGUGUACCAGGGUUGUUGCUUUUAGGAUGCAGUUGUUGAGGGAUUUGAGACCAGUGGUUAACAAAGUAAAAAGAAGUUUGGUUCUGAGAGUGAAGUACCAGAGAAUAGAAAGGCAUAGUUGGGCCAUUUUACAAUGCUCAGAGUAAAAGUGCAUUAGAUUGACUGAAAGUGGGCAAGUGCUUCUCCAAAAGGAGAAUUCUCACAAAAAUCCUUUCUUGCCUUAAACUUUGUGACCUGUUUGGUAAGCAUCGUGACCAGAUAAAACAUAGUGCAUGAAAAAAAGACAGGAGAGGAAAUAGAGAAAAUCAAGGAAAGUAUUCUUUCAAAUUAAACUCACAGCCCCAGAAAUGAGUCCUAGAUGCUGGAAAGGUAGAAAUAAUGUGUUUUGAAACUGUCUCUGGAGCAAACAGUUUCUCUCAGUAGAACAAAGCAGAUGUGAAGUGGCAGAACCACAAAUAAUAUCACAGCCUGUUUGCUCCCUUUAUUGCUGUCAUGGAUGAAGCCACUGAGCUGCUCUGGCUGCACCUGUCUCCUCAGGUUGUUUGCACAUGUAUUGUCAAGAUUGCGUAAGCCACAGACAUGCUUUGACCCAAAGACUUGAGAGCACAUGGUUUUCCAACCCCUGUCACCUGGAAGCACUGAUAGGCCCUGACCAGCUUCACCUGGACCAUCCCAGUCUCUGUCCAUGGGCCUAGUAAGCUCCGGUUCCUUGUGAAUGACUGACUUGAGGGAAGAGAACGUAGAGGUUGAUGUCAGCCUUGUUCUGCUCUGCAGGGGGCUAUGGAUGGAGAACAUUCUUCCUGGACUGCUCUAGGACUGCUAGAGAAAACUGUAACCAAUCCACCCAAACCCUUUGAGAGGGAAAUGCAUUCCCUGUAUGCCGGAGGAACUGGAUGAAGAAGAGAUUGGGAAAAAAACAGAAGACAAUGGAGUUUGGCAUUUUGACCCCUGCUGCUGAAAAGAGCCAGACACUUCUUCAUGAUUGACCCAAGUGCAUGGGAUGAAAGCAGGCUGCCUCCGAGGACCAGGCUGCCUUCUUUGGGGCGCGGAAAGCUGGUGUUGCUGGAGGUGCGUGACUGUCUGACGUGUUUACAUCCUGGACUUCUGAAGUAAUAUCUGUAGGCCAUCACUUUGGCUUGAAAAUUGAUUUUAUUAGGUGAAAAUGAACUGAAGAAAUGAACUGCAAGCCACAUUGCUGCGCUUACAAAGUGCGUUAUCCAGCCUUAUGUGCCCGGACGUAAUGAAUACACAGAGACCACCUACUUUGAACGCUCCUCUGAUUUUUCCAGUUUCUUUAAAGUCUAAUAAUAUUGGCAAUGCAGGAUGAAAGCAAUUGUGAAAAGUGAAAAAGUCCUUGUUUGCCUAUCCUGUCAUCUGGGGUCUGUUUCACUGAAGCUGAAAAAGAAGGUAACUUGCCUUAAUGCAGCGGGACAGCUUUUAGUCUAAUUGAACCAUGCAUCGGCAAGAACCCAGUAUUGAGCCUUCAGUCUCGGGUUAAUCCCUUUUAUUGGCUUGGGUGCAGGUUAUCAUCCCUUCUUAUCAAACAAGGACCCCUUUCUUCUCGCUCAGGAUCAGAACUAAAAGCCGGUUGAGAAAGAACUGACAAAUUCAAAGCAGUAAGCCUCCCCCUGCUCCGAAACCACCCUGCGCACCCACGAGGCGCUCUGCGACACACACACACGCUUCAGCUGCAAGGCUCGGGCGUGUUUUUGUUGCUGGGAAGCUCCCUCCCUCUCUUCCUCCCCUUUCAGCUGUGAUUUUUGUAGCAGCAGCUUCAAAGUGCAUGGAUUUGGUUCAAUUGUUUUGCCCAGCAUUUGCCGAUCAGCAUGUCAGAUUAAAUUUAUGGGCAGUUGACCAGUGUUUAGUAUUUGAACACCUGCUUCAACCUCCUCGUCUGGCACAGCUCUGUGAGCAGAGGUAUGUUAAAGUCACCGAUAGCGAGUGCGUGGUGCAAGUUGGGAAUGUAUUUUGAGGAAAAUAAAGGUGGCUUUGGGGGAAAACCGAUAACCAGUCUUGUGCGAGGCAGCUGGUCAAGCUCCAGGAUUGCAAUUGUCCUUUCUGACCUUAAACUCCAGAAAUCUACUUAAAUCACACUGGCCAAAAAUCCCCUGUGUUCGUUAGGGAACAGUUUUACCAUGAUUAUAGGUCACAUCACAGAGAAGUAAAUAAAAAGAUAUACUGUGUGUAUUGAGAACGCAGGCAAAGAUUUUUAAAUGAAUUAACAUGAAAUCUUCCACAAAGGCUAUUCUAUACAUACCUCUAAUUUAUUCAGUGCUACGUUUAGAGAGUCACUUAUUCCAAUAGUGUAUUCUUUAAAUACAGUACAACUACCAAAAAAUCCCACUUUUUCCUUCAUACUCAGUGCCUGCCUUCACCUUUUGAAACAGCUUCUACGAGAGCAAUAUUUUAACAGGUUUUAUGACAACGGACAGGAGGAGAAGAGGAGGAAAAAACAGCCUUAUUAAAGGUCAGAGCAGCCUAAUAGGAGAUACAAUAAACUAAGAGCUUUAUGAAGGCCUGAGACCAUCAUGCUUCCGCAGUAGGGCUCCUCUCCCUUUCCUCUGGAACAUCUGGUCUGUGACUCCCCGAAACGGGAUACUGAGCGCGGUGAACCCGGGGUCUGAUCCGGUUCGGUGCUUCAGUUCCCCCUUGCACACUCCAAGCUCCAGCAGUCAGCAGCAAUUUGGGGUGUGUAAGAAGUGAGUGACCCAGCAAAAUUAUGAUGCCUCUGAAAGAAUCCGCUCCUUUGUCUGCGUCUGGGAUGUUCGGCCAAAUUCUUCCCCUCGUCGCUUGCAUCGCCUUCACCACGCUUUCCCUGCAGGCGCUCUGAAAGAAAGGCUUGCAAUAUCUUUAAAAACUUCCUUUCCCUCCAUAUUGUUCUUUGGUAAAAGCACAGCGUAGCUGGGAUUGUUUUAUAUUUUUUCUUUCUUCAUACAAAACAGCACAAUGCCUGCUGGCCUGGGUAUCCGAAAUAUGGUUUUAUUGUUGUGGAAAGGCCUUAAUGAGGAAGAAAAAAACCCUAUUUAAUAAAGUGCAUCAAGUGCCCUUGGGAAAAAUUAGCACACAAUGACUUCUUGUGCCGCCAAUUGAAACAACAGAUUGGUGUAGUGAUAGGCUUUACAGGAAAUAUUAAAAAAGCACAGAUGGCUCAAGUUUACAUGUUUACAGUGGAGUUGGAACAGCAGCUAAAACCUUCCAGUGUAGUAUAAUUUACUAGAAGGUCAUAGACCUAGUGGUUAAGAAUGAACCUGAAGACUAUUGUAAACACACUAUUAGGGUUUGUAGAGGUCUAAUCCCAGCAUUUUUCAUUCUUUUCUGCAAUAUUAGAAGCAACUGGCUGCAGCGUUAGUGAAAAGAGAUACUUCAAGCAUGGAAAAAUGUGACAUUCCACUGGCACUUGCGGGGCUGAGCUGUUGCAGGAGCUGGAAGAGGGUUAUGCAAUUGCUACUGUUACUAUGUAAUUAGAAGCUCCUUGGCACUAAUCGGUGAUUCAGCUCACAAUGUGAUUAAAAAAAAACAUACUGAAAAUGUAGCUAGAAACAAGCUGCUUCAGCAAUUACGGGAGGGUCGGCUGUGCCCUUAGGAGCCGUGGUUCGCAGCUCUCGGGGACGGCUGGCCAGAGGAGGAGAGACCCCUGGGCUCCGGGAAAAGUCCUCCUCUGCCAGAGCUUCCUAUAAGGCCCAGGUCAAGCCGGCUGGGAUCUUCCCUUAUUUAGGUGCCUAGAUGAAAUGCUAGAGGCGUUUAUUUAUUUUAAAGUUUGUUGCAUCUGCAAUGGGAGCUAGUAGAAAUGUGGCCACAGCAGGUAGCAGGGCUCUCAGCAGGGAUAGCUCGAGCUUCCCAGGCAUAUUUUUCAUCAUCUGUUGCCUCUUUUGCUCUUUCUCUUUGUUCAGACUGUCAGCAGUUCUGGACAGGGAUCGUAACACCCACAGUCCAGACAGGAAAUGGGUUUUAGGAAGGCCUGUUACAGGUUGCAGUGUAAUAGGUAAAAUCAAUGGUAAAAUAAACAGCCAAAAGGUAAUAACAUAGGGUCACCAGAUGGAUGGGGGAGCCCUUGUUAGAGGUGGACCAACUGCCUGUGUUGACAGGUGUCCUUCAAGCAUUUCAUUUACGUGGUUUGUUCCCUACAGAAAUUAGCAACCCAGGUUAAUCAAGCAUCUGCUUACCACGAUGACAGCUUAACGUGGAACCACUUUCUGCCUCCCCUGCUGUUUGAGCUAUUUUGUUUACUUAAAACAAUACCUAGCCUUUGGAAAUAGGACAAGCAGCUAGUCUCGCCCGGACACCAAAUAUAAAUCUGAAUUGUAGAAAGCUCUAAACAAACAGACACCAAAAUCUAGCUCAUGUAUUUUCCUUCUUGACCUGUUUUCAAAGCCCUAUGCAAAGCAGUUCUGUAUUGUUACUGCCUUCCCACAGAUGGACAGACUGAGAUACAAAGAGAUGAAGUGAUUUGCCAGAAGAGUGAGAAAGUUUGGACUCAAAAACAGGUUUCUUGAUUUCCCAGUCAAAUGUUCUGUCCUUUGGAGCACAACCACUGGGCUGCGAUCAGUGAAGUGCUUAUCUGGCAUAUUUAAAUGU